rnacentral:rRNA from 1 species
UGCGUAGGCGGAAAAUUAAGUCAGUGGUGAAAUCCCAGAGCUCAACUCUGGAACUGCCAUUGAUACUGAUAUUCUUGAAUGUAGUUGAGGUAGGCGGAAUGUGUAAUGUAGCGGUGAAAUGCUUAGAUAUUACACAGAACACCGAUUGCGAAGGCAGCUUACUAAACUAUGAUUGACGCUGAGGCACGAAAGCGUGGGGAGCGAACAGGAUUAGAUACCCUGGUAGUCC